GACGUAGGGCGCGAGCGUUGUCCGGAUUUAUUGGGCGUAAAGAGCUCGUAGGCGGCUUGUCGCGUCGUCCGUGAAAACCUGCAGCUCAACUGCAGGCCUGCGGUCGAUACGGGCAGGCUAGAGUUCGGUAGGGGAGACUGGAAUUCCUGGUGUAGCGGUGAAAUGCGCAGAUAUCAGGAGGAACACCGAUGGCGAAGGCAGGUCUCUGGGCUGUAACUGACGCUGAGGAGCGAAAGCAUGGGGAGCGAACAGG
rnacentral:rRNA from 1 species